rnacentral:lncRNA from 1 species
UGUGAUAGUUAAUUGUGGAGCCUGUUCGACACGGCGUCACUUUGAUUGCGGCUGCAGAGUCGAAUCUCGGCAGAACAACGUGCGU